GCUGACAUGCUGACCGACUUUUGUUCUCGAAUGAUAAAAAUAUAUGUUUUCCCCCAAAUUACUUGUAUUCAUGUAAUUUAAAUCAGUGUUUGAAUUACUUUCCCCAUAUUUAAGGCCUUUAUUUAUUAGGAAUGGGUCGCACAAGAGGGGGUAGAAGACAUGUUCUACAGCUAAACGACAACCAAGAGAGUUACCUAGCCAAAUAUGGAUACAGCAGACAGGAUGAAGAUGGUAAG